GACGAACGCUGGCGGCGUGCUUAACACAUGCAAGUCGAACGGUAAGGCCCUUCGGGGUACACGAGUGGCGAACGGGUGAGUAACACGUGGGUGAUCUGCCCCGCACUUCGGGAUAAGCCUGGGAAACUGGGUCUAAUACCGGAUAGGACCACUGCCUGCAUGGGUGGUGGUGGAAAGCUUUUGCGGUGUGGGGUGGGCCCGCGGCCUAUCAGCUUGUUGGUGGGGUGAUGGCCUACCAAGGCGACGACGGGUAGCCGGCCUGAGAGGGUGACCGGCCACACUGGGACUGAGAUACGGCCCAGACUCCUACGGGAGGCAGCAGUGGGGAAUAUUGCACAAUGGGCGCAAGCCUGAUGCAGCGACGCCGCGUGAGGGAUGACGGCCUUCGGGUUGUAAACCUCUUUCAGCACCGACGAAGCGCAAGUGACGGUAGGUGCAGAAGAAGGACCGGCCAACUACGUGCCAGCCGCCGCGGUAA
rnacentral:rRNA from 1 species